rnacentral:piRNA from 1 species
UGAUGGUAACCUCCUCAGCACUGGCAC